AUUGAACGCUGGCGGCAGGCCUAACACAUGCAAGUCGAGCGGAUGCAGGGAGCUUGCUCCUGGAUUCAGCGGCGGACGGGUGAGUAAUGCCUAGGAAUCUGCCUGGUAGUGGGGGAUAACGUCCGGAAACGGGCGCUAAUACCGCAUACGUCCUGAGGGAGAAAGUGGGGGAUCUUCGGACCUCACGCUAUCAGAUGAGCCUAGGUCGGAUUAGCUAGUUGGUGGGGUAAAGGCCUACCAAGGCGACGAUCCGUAACUGGUCUGAGAGGAUGAUCAGUCACACUGGAACUGAGACACGGUCCAGACUCCUACGGGAGGCAGCAGUGGGGAAUAUUGGACAAUGGGCGAAAGCCUGAUCCAGCCAUGCCGCGUGUGUGAAGAAGGUCUUCGGAUUGUAAAGCACUUUAAGUUGGGAGGAAGAGCAGUAAGUUAAUACCUUGCUGUUUUGACGUUACCAGCAGAAUAAGCACCGGCUAACUUCGUG
rnacentral:rRNA from 1 species